rnacentral:rRNA from 1 species
GGAAGUAAAAGUCGUAACAAGGUUUCCGUAGGUGAACCUGCGGAAGGAUCAUUAUUGAAAUGCUAAAGGAAGGAGGCUGACUGCUGGGUGCAAGCGCAUCUGUGCACGCCUUCUCUCUUAAAUCCCUUUUAACACUUGUGCACUUUGUGUAGGCUGAGAAAUCAGUCUAUGUUUUUACUUUACACACAAUAUUUUGUAUGAACAUUAUAUGAAAAUGUAUUUUAAUACAACUUUCAACAACGGAUCUCUUGGCUCUCGCAUCGAUGAAGAACGCAGCGAAAUGCGAUAAGUAAUGUGAAUUGCAGAAUUCAGUGAAUCAUCGAAUCUUUGAACGCACCUUGCGCUCCUUGGUAUUCCGAGGAGCAUGCCUGUUUGAGUGUCAUGAUAUUACUCAAAGCUUACUAGUUUGUAAGAUUUGGAUUGUUGGAGUGUGCCGUGGAUAAUAAUCCUUAGGCUACUCUUGAAUGCAUUGUGUAAUCCUUGCAUACAAGGCUUUCAUUUGGUUUGAUAGUUUUCUAUACCAUUUGAAGCCCAGUUUGUGAGUAAAUAAUUGUAUGAUUCUGUGACCUCAAAUCAGGUAGGAUUACCCGCUGAACUUAAGCAUAUCAAUAAGCGGAGGA